rnacentral:rRNA from 1 species
GACGAACGCUGGCGGCGUGCUUAACACAUGCAAGUCGAACGGAAAGGCCCUGCUUUUGUGGGGUGCUCGAGUGGCGAACGGGUGAGUAACACGUGAGUAACCUGCCCUUGACUUUGGGAUAACUUCAGGAAACUGGGGCUAAUACCGGAUAGGAGCUCCUGCUGCAUGGUGGGGGUUGGAAAGUUUCGGCGGUUGGGGAUGGACUCGCGGCUUAUCAGCUUGUUGGUGGGGUAGUGGCUUACCAAGGCUUUGACGGGUAGCCGGCCUGAGAGGGUGACCGGCCACAUUGGGACUGAGAUACGGCCCAGACUACUACGGGAGGCAGCAGUGGGGAAUAUUGCACAAUGGGCGGAAGCCUGAUGCAGCAACGCCGCGUGAGGGAUGACGGCCUUCGGGUUGUAAACCGCUUUCGCCUGUGACGAAGCGUGAGUGACGGUAAUGGGUAAAGAAGCACCGGCUAACUACGUG